rnacentral:rRNA from 1 species
AACGCUAGCUACAGGCUUAACACAUGCAAGUCGCGGGGUAACGAGAGGGAAGCUUGCUUUCCUUGUCGACGACCGGCGCACGGGUGAGUAACGCGUAUCCAACCUGCCCAUUACCACGGGAUACCCCGUCGAAAGGCGGCCUAAUACCGUAUGCAGUCGUCAGAUGACAUCAGAGGACGACGAAAGGAUUGGCGGUAAUGGAUGGGGAUGCGUCUGAUUAGGUAGUUGGAGGGGUAACGGCCCACCAAGCCAUCGAUCAGUAGGGGUUCUGAGAGGAAGGUCCCCCACAUUGGAACUGAGACACGGUCCAAACUCCUACGGGAGGCAGCAGUGAGGAAUAUUGGUCAAUGGGCGAGAGCCUGAACCAGCCAAGUAGCGUGAAGGAUGAAGGUCCUAUGGAUUGUAAACUUCUUUUAUAGUAGAAUAAAGUGAACCACGUGUGGUUUUUUGUAUGUAUACUAUGAAUAAGGAUCGGCUAACUCCGUGCCAGCAGCCGCGGUAAUACGGAGGAUCCGAGCGUUAUCCGGAUUUAUUGGGUUUAAAGGGUGCGUAGGCGGAAUAAUAAGUCAGUUGUGAAAGUUUGCGGCUCAACCGUAAAAUUGCAGUUGAUACUGUUAUUCUUGAGUGUACAUAAGGUAGGCGGAAUUCGUGGUGUAGCGGUGAAAUGCUUAGAUAUCACGAAGAACUCCAAUUGCGAAGGCAGCUUACCGGGGUACAACUGACGCUGAGGCACGAAAGUGUGGGUAUCAAACAGGAUUAGAUACCCUGGUAGUCCACACAGUAAACGAUGAAUACUCGCUGUUUGCGAUAUACAGUAAGCGGCCAAGCGAAAGCAUUAAGUAUUCCACCUGGGGAGUACGCCGGCAACGGUGAAACUCAAAGGAAUUGACGGGGGCCCGCACAAGCGGAGGAACAUGUGGUUUAAUUCGAUGAUACGCGAGGAACCUUACCCGGGCUUGAAUUGCAGACGAACGUUCCAGAGAUGGUCCGGCCCUUCGGGGCGUCUGUGAAGGUGCUGCAUGGUUGUCGUCAGCUCGUGCCGUGAGGUGUCGGCUUAAGUGC